UUCGUGUUUUGGUGAUUCGGCUCUGAUCAACCUGUAGAGAAAAGAAUGGUGAUCACGGUGAUAUAAAAAUCGCAUCAAACGGAGGCCGGGAAGGGCCUCAUCGGAGGCAAAAACCGAGAAGGGGCGCGGCGGCGCCGCUGGGUUUCAGUCAUGUUUUCCGGCCGUUUGGCCAGGAUUUUGGCUCCGAUUUGGCCACAGGGGAAAUUAGCGUGGAAAAACGAGUCGGGGGUAUAAAAUUUACCUCGAUCGGCGGUCGGAAAUCUCCCCGGUGCGACGGCGGGUGGCGGCGGCUGGCGUCUCCGGCGUCUGGUUCGUCUUCUCUGGCGAGGGCAGGCGGCUAGGGUUUUUGUGGUCUGGUGUGGGGGUUCUAUUUAUACCCUUUUGCCUUUUGAUCUCAGCCGUCCAUUUUGUUUUAAUCUGGGCCGUCCGUUUUUUGAUUAAAUCUGGGCCGUCCGUACGAUUGCAUCUGGGCCGUCCGUACGCACGCUUGAUCUAGGCCGUCCGAUCGCCCGUAUGCGGAUCGCCAACGUGGCCCGUCCCCGGUCGACGUGGUUUUGCCACGUGGCAGGUCUUGGUUGGCC
rnacentral:lncRNA from 1 species